ensembl:lncRNA novel transcript
CCCUUUCUUCCCUCAAACCCCGGGCAACCACCGAUCUUUUUACUGUCUGCAUAGUUUUGCCUUUUCCAGAAUGUCAUAUAGUUGGAAUUGUACCGAUGGUUGACAGGCUAUUUGGAACAAUCUUCCUACUGAAAGAAACUAAAAAAUAUGAGUAAGACGUGUCUUGAUGAAAGCAUUAAAGAAAUAUUAAGACACCAAGAAACCACCACAUCAAAAAUGAAGGGAACAUUCGUUCAGAGAACCCUCAGGUUGAGGCCCUUCCUGGCAAAGCUGCCCUAGGCCCAGAUGUCACAUAUGCAUGACAACGUCCGGGGACCAUUUGCCCCAGCAGAUUCCCUUUCAUUUCUGAUUGGCCGGCAAGUGGCUGAGGAUCGUCUUACUCGCACCCUGGUGCUGGGCGCUGACCACCUCCCGAAGCACUUGGCCAGGGGGAGAGGAUGCUGGACACAAUCAGGUUCUCCUGGGGGGAGGAGGGAGGGAAUGGCUGCUGGAAGGGUUCUACCGGGGACUCCUACAGCAGCUUGUUAGAUCUCCUUCCUCCCAAUUCCCUGAAGUUGGUGGAACAGGAAGAGGACGAGAAGUCAUGUUUGUAUGUUGUCCCCUUGGAAUCUCUCAAAAAUCCGCAAUAUCCCGAUUUGAGAAAUGAGCAUCACAGAGAAAGCAAAGCGGUAGUUGGAAGCUGCCAAGCUUGUGAGCAACGAGACGGAAUCCACGCCCAGGGCUUUCUAACGGCGGGGCCACGCCCUCCACACUCCACCUCGGCCCUCUGCCCUGCGAUGGUGCAGAGACAGGGUGUGGUCAAGGGGCCUAGGGUGAGGGUCCUGCCAGUACUUUACAGGAAACUCCCCCUCUUUUAGCCUCAUUUGUCAAAGAAAGGGCUUAGACACUAAAAUCUUUUAAGUUUCCUUCUA